rnacentral:lncRNA from 1 species
GUUGGUUAAUAUAGGAAUGAAGUCUAUGUUCGUAUUUGCAGAUUAGUGUCAUCAUGAUACCCUUAGUUCACUCUGUUAGUACUUAUCACUGCAUCCCGACUUGAACUUUGAAUUUUUACCUGAAGCACUCGUUUGCACCAGUUUUUCUUUUAUGAGCUUUUUAAUAUUUUGCUUGAGGACAAGCAAAGGUUUAAGUGUGGGACAGUUUGAUAACACUGAAAUUUACCGUAUUUUCGACUCUGAUUUCACAUGAAUU